rnacentral:rRNA from 1 species
AUUGAACGCUGGCGGCAGGCUUAACACAUGCAAGUCGAACGAUGAAACUCUAGCUUGCUAGAGAUGAUUAGUGGCGGACGGGUGAGUAACAUUUAGGAAUCUGCCUAGUAGUGGGGGAUAGCUCGGGGAAACUCGAAUUAAUACCGCAUACGACCUACGGGUGAAAGGGGGCGCAAGCUCUUGCUAUUAGAUGAGCCUAAAUCAGAUUAGCUAGUUGGUGGGGUAAAGGCCUACCAAGGCGACGAUCUGUAACUGGUCUGAGAGGAUGAUCAGUCACACCGGAACUGAGACACGGUCCGGACUCCUACGGGAGGCAGCAGUGGGGAAUAUUGGACAAUGGGGGCAACCCUGAUCCAGCCAUGCCGCGUGUGUGAAGAAGGCCUUGUGGUUGUAAAGCACUUUAAGCAGGGAGGAGAGGCUAAUGGUUAAUACCCAUUAGAUUAGACGUUACCUGCAGAAUAAGCACCGGCUAACUCUGUG